rfam:Ictidomys tridecemlineatus contig031685, whole genome shotgun sequence.
GGUGAUGUGGCUCAGUGAUAGAGUGCUUGCUUAGCAUGUGUGAGGCCUUGAGUUUGAUUCUCAGCACCACAU